GCCCAUUGUGGGCCAAGGGAUCCUCCGCCUGGCGUCCCUGAUACCUUGUGUGACUCUGAGGAGAGGCUCAAGAGCAGCCGAAGCCCCGUGCAGACUCCAGGAAAGCACCACCAUCUGUGACAGGCUGCCAGGCAUCAGGACACGGCCACUGGAGCACCUCAGCCCUGGUUUUUCUCCUCUCAGGAAAAAAAAAAUCCACUUGCUCUCAAAGGGCUCCUUCUGCCUGGGGUGACAUUGGCCUGCAAGCUCCAGCUAGAGCAGUUUUCUGGGAGGAAGAAUAGAGGUAACCUGGGAUCAAUAUUGAUGAAGCCGUGAUUAAUUGACUGAUGGCCGAAUGAUUACAAACUUCUGUCUGAGGCAGCUACUCAAAUGUAUUAGCUUUGACCAAAUGGGGGGGGGAAAUAAAUUAAAGCAAAAAAAAAAAAAAUACAAACUGGGUCAAUGAAAAAAAAAAUGCAUUCAAAUCAAUUUUUAAUAGCACUUAAGAUUUUAUGAUUUUUUAAACUUUCCUCUGAAUAAUUAAUCAGAAAAAUGAAUCUAAUUUAAACAAGGUGGUGUAAGGUGUUCUGUAUCUGUU